rnacentral:sRNA from 1 species
GAAGCAUCAGACCUAACCUGGGAGGAGGAGGAGGAAGAAGAAGGGGAGGAGGAGGAAGAGGAGGAGGAAGAUGAUGAGGAUGAGGAUGCAGAUGUAUCUCUGGAGGAAAGCCCUGUCAAACAAGUCAAAAGGCUGGUGCCCCAGAAGCAGGCGAGCGUGGCUAAGAAAAAAAAGCUGGAAAAAGAAGAGGAGGAAAUAAGAGCCAGCGUUAGAGACAAGAGCCCUGUGAAAAAGGCCAAAGCCACAGCCAGAGCCAAGAAGCCAGGAUUCAAGAAAUGAGGAGCCACGCCUUGGGGGGCACGGUGCAAAGUGGGCCUUCCCUGGGCUGUGCUGCAGGCACAGGGUGCCCCUGUCCAGCCCCUUCAUCUGUGUCUGAAUGUAACAGGGGUGUUGCGGGGGCAACAUGAGAGCCCCUCACCCCCAACUCUCCACUUUCAGGAGGCCCCCAGUGAAGAGCCCCACCUCGGGGUCACAAUAAAGUUGCCUGGUCAGGA